GCAGUGCUGCAGACCCAAGCCCUGGGGAUCUCCACUGUGCUCACACUUAGCACGUCCUUGCUGAGUCAUCCUGGGCUCUGCUCUUAGUAAGCUGACUUGGAUGAAGGAAGACCGUCUCCUCCCUGCGGCUGAAGAAACAUUACCAACAUGGCUGACUGGAUUCCUUUUGAGUGUUUUUUGUUUGUUUCAAUAUUUUUGAGAUGUUUGUUAUGUUUUAUGUGCUUGCCUGAACGAGUGUCUGUCCCUGUACCACACAUGCAGUGCCUGUGGAGGCCCAGAAGAGGUCAUCAGACACCCUAGGAUUGGAGUUGCAGACGGUUGUCAGCUGCCCUGUGGGUGCUAGGAACUGAACCCAGGUCCUCUAGAGGAACAGUAAGUGCUCUUAACUGCUGAGCCAUCUCUCCAGCAAUGCCCACCGCUAACCCCUGCUGCCUCUCCCCCCCCCCCCCACUUCUUUUUAAGAUUUAUUUAUUAUUAUAUGUAAGUACACUGUAGCUGUCUUUAGACACACCAGAAGAGGGCAUCAGAUCUCAUUACGGAUGGUUUGUGAGCCACCAUGUGGUUGCUGGGAAUUGAACUCAGGACCUUCGGAAGAACAGUCAGUGCUCUUAACCACUGAGCCACCUCUCCAGCCCCUGUCUCUUCCCUUUUGAACCUUUGGUCACAAACUUAGAAUGAGUGCUGCUCACUCUCAAGCAGUCUUGUGUUUCUCUUCAGAAGGCUUUCAAAGAUGGUGGCCAUUCCAUAACUUCUCAGAGCCCUUUAGUUAGGCCUCCUAUUGGAAACCAAAAGUCUCCCUCCCAUUACCAAACUACAGGACUGCACACACCCAUCUCUGGCCUCCCACUUUCCCUGCCUGUGGAAAGUUUGCAGGCUGUUCUGCUCAUUCUGAAGGUUGGACUAGAGGUCUGGACUUCUUUCUGUCCCUUGCAUUAUUAAUAUGGCCAUUUCUAUUGAACAGUUUUCAAGAACACUCAGAUACAUGCUAACAUUGUUCUUUUUUGUUUCUUUCUGUAUUUUAUGUGCAUGGGUGUUUUGCCAACAAUAUUUGUGUACUAUGUUUGUGCCUGGUGCCUGUGGAGGUCAGAAAAGGGUGUCAGAUCCCCCAAGGGAUGGAGUGGGAUGGCUGCGAGGAACCUAACAUGAGUCCUCUGGAAGAAUAACCAGUGCUCUUUAAAGGCCGACUACUUGGGCUGGUGAGAUGGCUCAGCAGGUAAGAGCACUGACUGCUCUUCCAAAGAUCCUGAGUUCAAAUCCCAGCAACCACAUGAUGGCUCAUAACCACCCACAAUGAGAUCUGAUGCCCUCUUCUGGUGCUGUCUGAAGGCAGCUACAGUGUACUUAUGUAUAACAAUAAAUAAAUCUUUGGGCUGGAGCGAGCUGGGUUGAUCUGAGCAAGCAGAGGUGCUAAAAAUUCAAUUCCUAACAACCACAUGAAGGCUCACAACCAAUUGUUCAGCUACAGUGUACCCAUAUACAUUAAAUAAAUAAAUAAAUAAACCUUUAAAAAAGUAAAUAAAUACAUAAGAUAAAGCCUG
rnacentral:lncRNA from 1 species